GUUUCGAUAGCUCAAAGGUAGAGCACUUGGCUUUUAGCCAAAAGGUUGUAGGUUCGAAUCCUAUUCGGAGCU
rnacentral:tRNA from 1 species